rnacentral:ncRNA from 1 species
AAUGGUAGAGGUGCGGGAUUCAAGAGUACUCCGGCAAAUAUGGGCACAGCCGGACGAAAGGGGAAACCGCCGAAGAAUCGAAAGCCUGCCCAGGGCUCCGGUUCUGGCCCGCCGCAGAAGAUGCGUCGGUCUGUCACGAACGUGGAGCGCUAUCA